AGAUGAGAAGGUGGGGUGGGUCCAAGACCCAAAAAGGGCUGGCCGAAACAAGAUGACCAAAUUUGGGUAGCGAGUGCUGGACCCUCGCGGACCGAGCACACCCAGACGGAGUUGACUCGGUAGGUCCAGCGAGCCAAGGGCAAGUGGGGUCAGUCAGUCUUCCAGAAGGCAGGCCCACCGUGUUGCCAGGACGUCCGUUUCCCGCGAGUCGUCUGCCAUAUGGGGAAGCGAGCCCCCUUUCUGUCUCCGGCUCCCGGAGCCGCCGGAGGGAGAAAAGGCUAACCUUAUUUUUUUUCACGUCCCAGUCUCCCGACGCUCACCUUUGGGAGAAGAAACCGAUGCUGUGGCAAAAGGCUACGCCCUCGAAAGCAGUCUCAGGCGGCCCCUUCCGUCUCCCCUACACCUCGCCCGCUGUGUACGGUCACAUCGCCUUUUUCUUCCGACCUCUCUCUCUCUCUCUCUCUCUCUCUCUCUGGUUAACUCUGCACUCUGCGAGUUCCAGAGCCCCCACCACGAUUUCUUAUUCUUAUUCUCCUCCACUCUUUAUCUAACCCACCCCCCACCAUGAUUCCUUAUUCUUAUUCGCCUCCACUCUUUAUCUACCCACGCCUCCUUCCACCCUCUUCCCCACCUCCUCAUAAGUCAUAUCUCUCUCUCUCUUUCUCUUACCAGAAUGAAACCCACUAUCUGGUUUCUUCCCUCUGUUUUCGUCUUCUUCGCCGUCGCCAUCAUCUCCUCGUUGGCAGACGAUUUGUCGGUAUUGCUUAAGCUGAAGACGUCGUUGGUGAAUCGUAGCGUCGGAGGGUCAGGGCUCGACGACUGGGACCCUUCCGCCUCUCAUUGCAACUUCACCGGCGUGACGUGCGACCAGGGGUACAGGGUGAUCGCUCUCAACCUAACCAGGGUUCCUCUCUUUGGCUCGCUUUCUGCAGAGAUCGCCUCACUCGACCACCUCGCCAGCCUCGUUCUCGCCGAGGACAACCUCACGGGAAAGAUACCGCCGGAGAUCUCUAACCUGACGUCGCUGCGAUGUCUCAAUCUUUCUAACAACAAUCUUUCGGGUCGGUUUCCUCCUGGGUUCGGUAGAUUGAGUGAGUUGGAGGUGCUAGAUGUAUAUAACAACAACCUCACCGGUCCGCUGCCGGUGGAGUUGGGGGUGCUCCGCCGACUGCGCCUCCUCCACCUUGGUGGAAACUACUUCAACGGCAGCAUCCCGAUGGAAUACUCUAAUAUCUUGAGCUUGGAGUACCUUGCGCUUACCGGGGAUAGCCUGUCCGGCAGGAUACCGCCGGAACUAGGUCGGUUGCAGAAUCUUCAGCAGCUGUACCUCGGGUAUUACAAUACCUUCCAGGGCGGCAUUCCACAGGAAUUCGGCAACUUGAGCCGGCUGGUGCGGCUUGACAUGGGUGAAUGUAACCUUUCCGGCGAGAUUCCGACCAGCCUGGGUCGCCUGAAGUCGCUCGAUACCCUAUUCUUGCAGUUCAACAACCUUUCCGGCUUGAUUCCUCCCGAGCUCUCCGGGAUGACGAGCCUGAAGUCCCUUGACUUGUCCAACAACCACCUCACUGGAGGGAUUCCGGAGAGUUUCUCGGCUCUCCAGCAGCUGACGCUGUUCAACCUCUUUCGAAACCAGCUCUUCGGCAGCGUCCCGGCAUUGGUCGCAGAGUUGCCGGCUCUGGAAGUUCUGCAGUUGUGGGAGAACAACUUUACUGGCGAACUGCCGGAGGAUCUCGGCAAGAAUGGACGCCUUGUUCUUCUCGACCUGACGACGAACCGUUUGACCGGCUUGAUUCCCACCGGCCUCUGUACCGGCGGGCGCUUGCAAAAACUGAUCCUUCUUGAUAAUUUCUUCUUCGGUCCGAUUCCUGAGUCGCUUGGGGACUGCAAGUCACUGACGCGGGUCAGGCUUGCCCGGAAUUAUUUAAAUGGAUCGAUUCCCGCUGGGUUUCUGAGUCUUCCUAACGUUGACAUGGUUGAGCUCUCGGACAAUUACAUAACCGGCAGUCUGCCGUCAGAGAUUUCGCCGUCGACGAACCUCGGCUGGCUCAUACUUUCUAGGAACGGGCUUUCCGGAAGCAUACCAGCGGGAAUCGGUAAUUUGAUUGGGCUGCACACGCUCUUACUCGAUGGUAAUCGCUUGACCGGCAGCAUCCCUCCGGAGAUCACCGGCAUGAAGCAGUUAUCGGUUCUAAACCUAAGCCACAACGAGCUUUCCGGCGAUAUCCCUUCGAGCAUAGUUCUCUGCAAGUCCUUGGGGACGAUUGACCUAAGCGAGAACAACCUCUCUGGCGGCCUGCCGAUCGAUCUGCCGAAUCUGUCCAUACUCAACAACUUGAACGUCUCCCAUAACCUCCUCAGCGGACAGAUUCCGUCGGAGAUGAACAGGAUGAGCCUCACCCUGCUCGACCUGUCCUUCAACAACUUCUCAGGCGAGCUACCUACAGGGGGUGAACUCGACUUCUUCAAUCAGAGCUCAUUCGCCGCAAACCCUCAUCUAUGCAGCCCCCGCCUCGCCGCCUGCAUUCCCAUAGCGACCGACGCUCCGACAGGCUCGAAGCAGCUUCUCAGCCCCCAAAAACUGAGACUGGCUAUCGGAUUCCUCGUCUUCUUGGUGAUCGCCGUCGCACUGUGGCUUGGGAGGGCAUGUUGGAUUCGUCGCUGUCGCCACUCCCAGGAGUGGAAGCUCACUCCAUUCCACCGGCUGGACUUCACCUGCAGGGACGUUCUCGAGUGCCUCAAGGAGGACAUGGUGAUAGGAAAAGGCGGGGCCGGAACGGUCUACCGGGGAACGAUGCCUUGCGGGACGGAGGUGGCGAUCAAGAAGCUGCCGGGAAUGGGGAAGAACAACCGGAACGACCACGGCUUCUCGGCAGAGAUACGAACUCUCGGCCGGAUCCGGCACCGGAACAUCGUCCGGCUAUUGGGUUGCUGCUCGAACGCCGAGACGAACUUGCUGGUAUACGAGUACAUGCCCAACGGGAGCUUGGGCGACUUCCUUCACGGGAAGAAGGGGGAGCAUCUUCGGUGGGAGAUGAGGUACAAGAUCGCGGUGGAGGCGGCCCGGGGACUCUGCUACCUCCACCACGACUGCUCGCCCCUCAUCGUUCACCGCGACGUCAAGUCCAACAACAUUCUCCUCGACUCCGAUUUCGAGGCUCACGUCGCCGACUUCGGCCUCGCCAAGUUCCUCCGCGACACCGGAGCUUCAGAGUGCAUGUCCUCCGUCGCAGGCUCUUACGGAUAUAUUGCUCCCGAGUAUGCAUACACCCUGCGGGUGGACGAGAAAAGCGACGUGUACAGUUUUGGGGUGGUUCUGCUGGAGCUGAUAACCGGCCGGAAGCCGGUUGGUGAGUUCGGCGAGGGCGUCGACAUCGUCAGGUGGGUGGGGAAGAUGGUCUCGAGCUCCGUCGAGCCGGCGACUGUGGUCGCUUCCCUGGUUGAUAGCAGGCUGAGUGACUACCCACUCGAGAGCGUCAAGCAUAUGUUCAACGUCGCCAUGAGGUGCGUGGAGGAGGAGAGCUCCAAGAGGCCUACCAUGAGGGAGGUGGUUCACAUGCUCAAUGGCCCGGCUUCUCUGCUCAUCAUCUGAAAAACGCUCAGCACUGGUGACGGACCUGAAGAACAAGGAGCAAUAAAAGCGGAGAAUCUGAAAAGAACAGAACUAGAAAACCUUGGUGUUGGUCUCAUUUUCUGGCUUGGAGAGGUGGAUAUAAGUGAAGAACUCUUGAGAGUGGGGCAGAGUUGCGAUCAUGAAAAACGGGUUUUCUGUUGGCUUUGUUUUGUUGCCGUUGGGCUUUCCGGAAGGGGUGUGGAAAAGGGUGUCUUUUUUUUUGGCUCUCGAGAAAGAUUGAUUGAUCGUGCUGUCAUCGGCCUCGAUGCCGUCACAGAGAGAGAGAGGGAAGGGAAGGAAAAAUCAGAAAAUGGAAAUCAUACUCAUAAAUCACGAAAGAAGUUGGUGGGUGAAAAAAAUAUAAACUGGGUGGCAACUGUCCAAAAAAAAAAAGAAAAAGUAAUAAUGGUGCCUGUUCUGUGCUGUAGAUAAGACUCCCCUAGGACGUUCUCUACACCCGUGAACUUUAUGUAUUUAAAGUUGGGGAUGUGAGUGCUGGAAGUUCACUGCUGACUAAGAACCUGACUGGAAAAUUCCAGUUUCUUUGCAUGUCCUUCUGUCUGCGCCCUUCCCUGCUGCAUGAUCAGCCAGUACUUGAAAUGCAUGAUGAUAAGCUCCUGUAAUCUGUAAGAUCAGGAAAAGUAUGAAAACUUGUCCCAACGAUGCGUUUAGCUUUC